rnacentral:rRNA from 1 species
AGAGAGAGACAUGCGCGCAUAUCAAUAAGCGGAGGAAAAGAAACUAACAAGGAUUCCCUUAGUAACGGCGAGUGAAGCGAGAAGAGCUCAAAUUUGAAAUCUUCAAGGUUUUACCUUGACGAAUUGUAGUUUAAAGAAGUGUUUUCUGCUGAAGUUUUGGUAAAAGUUCUUUGGAAUAGGACAUCAUAGAGGGUGAGAAUCCCGUAUUUGACCAUUAUUUUCAGCUUUGUGAUACACUUUCAAAGAGUCGGAUUGUUUGGGAAUACAGUCCAAAAUGGGUGGUAAAUUUCAUCUAAAGCUAAAUAUUGGCGAGAGACCGAUAGCGAACAAGUACCGUGAGGGAAAGAUGAAAAGAACUUUGAAAAGAGAGUUAAACAGUACGUGAAAUUGUCAAAAGGGAAGCGUUUGACACCAGUGUUGUUUUCUCGAAAAUCGAUUAAAAAUGGCUCGAUUUUGUAUUGCUUGAGACCUUAAAAGCUCACUGUACAUUUUUCGUGUCUUUUUUAAUGCACUUUUCGUUUAACAAGUCAACAUCAGUUUCUUUUGUUGUAAAAGGGUCAUUGGAAGGUGGCUUUCUUUUCGGAGAAAGUGUUUAUAGCCUUUGGCCUCUGCAAUCGGAGAGACUGAGGUCUGCAGCGUAGACUCUUCGGGGUUAGAUACAUUUGUGCUAAGUUAUAGCUUUUUAUAGACCACUUGUUGACUAUAAUUAGUCUUGUAGCUUACUCGCUUAUGCUAUUUUACCUACGCUUAGGAUGUUGAAGAUGUAGCACAUCAU